UGGGGAAUAUUGCACAAUGGGGGAAACCCUGAUGCAGCGACGCCGCGUGAACGAAGAAGGUAUUCGUAUCGUAAAGUUCUGUCCUAUGGGAAGAUAAUGACAGUACCAUAGAAGAAAGCUCCGGCUAAAUACGUGCCAGCAGCCGCGGUAAUACGUAUGGAGCGAGCGUUGUCCGGAAUUAUUGGGCGUAAAGGGUACGCAGGCGGUUUAAUAAGUCGAAUGUUAAAGAUCGGGGCUCAACCCCGGAAAGCAUUGGAAACUGAUAAACUUGAGUAGUGGAGAGGAAAGUGGAAUUCCUGGUGUAGUGGUGAAAUACGUAGAUAUUAGGAGGAAUACCAGUAGCGAAGGCGACUUUCUGGACACAAACUGACGCUGAGGUGCGAAAGCGUGGGGAGCAAACAGG
rnacentral:rRNA from 1 species